CAGUCGCCGCGGGAAUACAGAGGGUGCGAGCGUUAAUCGGAUUUACUGGGCGUAAAGCGUGCGUAGGCGGCUUUUUAAGUCGGAUGUGAAAUCCCUGAGCUUAACUUAGGAAUUGCAUUCGAUACUGGGAAGCUAGAGUAUGGGAGAGGAUGGUAGAAUUCCAGGUGUAGCGGUGAAAUGCGUAGAGAUCUGGAGGAAUACCGAUGGCGAAGGCAGCCAUCUGGCCUAAUACUGACGCUGAGGUACGAAAGCAUGGGGAGCAAACAGGAUUAGAGACCCCCGUAGUCCCUGUCUCUUAUAC
rnacentral:rRNA from 1 species